rnacentral:lncRNA from 1 species
AUUGUUGCUUUUUUACUCAUCUUCUUAUUCAGUUCCAAAAACUGACCGUUUCAUUUGAAGUUGUAGAAUGUUAUUAUUUAAAUAUAUUUAGUUCCUGAUCUUGGUCAGUCCCUCCUCUACCAGUGUCUGGUAUUUAGCCGGUCCAGCCCAGGUAUGUCUGGGCCAUGUCCCAGCCCAGGUAUGUCUGGGCCAUGUCCCAGCCAGGUAUGUCUGGCCUGUCCCAGCCCGGUAUGUCGGGGCCAUGUCCCAGCCCAGUAUGUCUGGGCCAUGUCCCAGCCCAGGUAUGUCUGGGCCAUGUCCCAAGCCCAGGUAUGUCUGGGCCAUUUUGUGCCAGCCCAGGUAUGUCUGGGCCAUGUCCCAGCCCAGGUAUGUCUGGGCCAUGUCCCAGCCCAGUAUGUCUGGGCCAUGUCCCAGCCCAGGUAUGUCUGGGCCAUGUCCCAGCCCAGGUAUGUCUGGGCCAUGUCCCAGCCCAGGUAUGUCUGGGCCAUGUCCCAGCCCCGGUAUGUAUGGGCCAUGUCCCCGCCCAGUUGUCUGGGGAGUCCAGCCAGUAUGUCUGGGCCAUGUCCCAGCCCAGGUAUGUCUGGGCCAUGUCCCAGCCCAGGUAUGUCUGGGCCAUGUCCCAGCCAGGUAUGUCUGGGCCAUGUCCCAGCCCAGGUGUCUGGGCCAUGUCCCAGCCCAGGUAUGUCUGGGCCAUGUCCCAGCCCAGGUUGAUCUUGAAAUAUCAAAUCUCUCUUUCUUUAAAAUAAUAAAUUGCACUGUAGAAGGUGAAUUGAAAGCAUCAAAGCAUGAUUAUGAUAUGAUUUUUUUUUAAUGUUACUUAUUUUUUUCUGGUGGCGUUUAAGUCCGUCAAGGGGCGGACUACUCGCCAGACCUGGAUUCAAUCAUUUCAGAUACUUUAAGCCGGGCUUGAUUGAGCUUGCCUGGCAAAAUGAAACAAAAAUAGAAUAGUCCACCAAACUGCAAAUCCUCCUGCCCGUGAUCUGGAACAACAGGCACACUGAAGUCAACACUCAAAGAUUUAAAAGAUUUUGAGAAACGUACAGGGAGCAUUCUACCGUCCU